UGCGGGCGUGGGCCAGCUGGACCAUGCCCUCCGCCUUGUCGGCGGAGACGGUCGCGUCGGUCUUCGCGACGUCCGCGC
rnacentral:tRNA from 1 species